GAAAUCCGGAUUAAUACCGCAUACGCCCUACGGGGGAAAGGUGGCCUCUUCUUGAAAGCUACCGUUAUCGGAUGAGCCUGCGUCGGAUUAGCUAGUUGGUGGGGUAAAGGCCUACCAAGGCGGCGAUCCGUAGCUGGUCUGAGAGGAUGAUCAGCCACACUGGGACUGAGACACGGCCCAGACUCCUACGGGAGGCAGCAGUGGGGAAUAUUGGACAAUGGGCGCAAGCCUGAUCCAGCCAUGCCGCGUGUGUGAAGAAGGCUUUCGGGUUGUAAAGCACUUUCAGCGGGGAGGAAAGGUUAUUGGUUAAUACCCAAUAGCUGUGACGUUACCCGCAGAAGAAGCACCGGCUAACUCCGUGCCAGCAGCCGCGGUAAUACGGAGGGUGCGAGCGUUAAUCGGAAUUACUGGGCGUAAAGCGUGCGUGGGCGGUGAUUUAAGUGGGAUGUGAAAGCCCCCGGGCUCAACCUGGGAACUGCACCCCAACUGGGUCGCUAGAGUACAGCAAAAGAGUGUGGAAUUUCCUG
rnacentral:rRNA from 1 species